AUACGGAGGGCGCGAACGUUGCUCGGAAUCAUUGGGCGUAAAGCGCACGUAGGCGGCCUGAUAAGUCGGAUGUGAAAGCCCUCGGCUCAACCGAGGAAGUGCAUUCGAAACUGUCAGGCUUGAGUAUGGGAGUGGGUUGCGGAAUUCCCGGUGUAGAGGUGAAAUUCGUAGAUAUUGGGAGGAACACCAGUGGCGAAGGCGGCAGCCUGGACCAAUACUGACGCUGAGGUGCGAAAGCGUGGGGAGCAAACAGGAUUAGAAACCCUAGUAGUCC
rnacentral:rRNA from 1 species